UCUUUCCCGAUCCUCUUUCUCCUUAUUCUCUUGGCUCACCCAAAAUUUGUUUGUACAGGAUAGCUCCCAUCAGGUUGCUCUUCUUAGUCGCUCAAUUGAGGUUUCUCAUCCUCCACCUGAAGUCACCCCCGCAGCUGGUUCUGCCACAGGCCCACAGCCCUCUUAGAUCCAACUUUUGUAUAAGGUUGUUGACGUUGUUUUCUUCCCCAAGCGCGCAAGCUAGAAUCAUUGUCCAAAUUUCUGCUUGAGGCAGGUCUGCACAUCGUCCUCAUCCUCCACGGCAGCAACAUUCUUCAAAGUUCAACUCGUCCCCAUUCUUCCUUCGACAGACUCUGUCCUGUUUUCCUUUUUCUUAGCCUUUUCAUGUCUUAGUUCGAUUCAGCCAAUAUAUAUAAUUAGCGAAA